CAGGCUUAACACAUGCAAGUCGAGGGGCAGCAUGGUCUUAGCUUGCUAAGGCCGAUGGCGACCGGCGCACGGGUGAGUAACACGUAUCCAACCUGCCGUCUACUCUUGGACAGCCUUCUGAAAGGAAGAUUAAUACAAGAUGGCAUCAUGAGUCCGCAUGUUCACAUGAUUAAAGGUAUUCCGGUAGACGAUGGGGAUGCGUUCCAUUAGAUAGUAGGCGGGGUAACGGCCCACCUAGUCUUCGAUGGAUAGGGGUUCUGAGAGGAAGGUCCCCCACAUUGGAACUGAGACACGGUCCAAACUCCUACGGGAGGCAGCAGUGAGGAAUAUUGGUCAAUGGGCGAGAGCCUGAACCAGCCAAGUAGCGUGAAGGAUGACUGCCCUAUGGGUUGUAAACUUCUUUUAUAAAGGAAUAAAGUCGGGUAUGGAUACCCGUUUGCAUGUACUUUAUGAAUAAGGAUCGGCUAACUCCGUGCCAGCAGCUGCGGUAAUACGGAGGAUCCGAGCGUUAUCCGGAUUUAUUGGGUUUAAAGGGAGCGUAGAUGGAUGUUUAAGUCAGUUGUGAAAGUUUGCGGCUCAACCGUAAAAUUGCAGUUGAUACUGGAUAUCUUGAGUGCAGUUGAGGCAGGCGGAAUUCGUGGUGUAGCGGUGAAAUGCUUAGAUAUCACGAAGAACUCCGAUUGCGAAGGCAGCCUGCUAAGCUGCAACUGACAUUGAGGCUCGAAAGUGUGGGUAUCAAACAGGAUUAGAUACCCUGGUAGUCCACACGGUAAACGAUGAAUACUCGCUGUUUGCGAUAUACUGCAAGCGGCCAAGCGAAAGCGUUAAGUAUUCCACCUGGGGAGUACGCCGGCAACGGUGAAACUCAAAGGAAUUGACGGGGGCCCGCACAAGCGGAGGAACAUGUGGUUUAAUUCGAUGAUACGCGAGGAACCUUACCCGGGCUUAAAUUGCAGAUGAAUUACGGUGAAAGCCGUAAGCCGCAAGGCAUCUGUGAAGGUGCUGCAUGGUUGUCGUCAGCUCGUGCCGUGAGGUGUCGGCUUAAGUGCCAUAACGAGCGCAACCCUUGUUGUCAGUUACUAACAGGUUCCGCUGAGGACUCUGACAAGACUGCCAUCGUAAGAUGUGAGGAAGGUGGGGAUGACGUCAAAUCAGCACGGCCCUUACGUCCGGGGCUACACACGUGUUACAAUGGGGGGUACAGAGGGCCGCUACCACGCGAGUGGAUGCCAAUCCCCAAAACCUCUCUCAGUUCGGACUGGAGUCUGCAACCCGACUCCACGAAGCUGGAUUCGCUAGUAAUCGCGCAUCAGCCACGGCGCGGUGAAUACGUUCCCGGGCCUUGUACACACCGCCCGUCAAGCCAUGGGAGCCGGGGGUACCUGAAGUGCGUAACCGCGAGGAGCGCCCUAGGGUAAAACUGGUGACUGGG
rnacentral:rRNA from 1 species